UACGUAGGGUGCGAGCGUUGUCCGGAAUUAUUGGGCGUAAAGAGCUUGUAGGCGGUCUGUCGCGUCUGCUGUGAAAAUCCGGGGCUCAACCCCGGACUUGCAGUGGGUACGGGCAGACUAGAGUGUGGUAGGGGAGACUGGAAUUCCUGGUGUAGCGGUGGAAUGCGCAGAUAUCAGGAAGAACACCAACGGGCGAAGGCAGCUCGCUGGGACGGUACUGAC
rnacentral:rRNA from 1 species